GGGUCAAUACCCUGUGGGGCUGACGGUACCUGAGGAAUAAGCCCCGUCUAACUUCGUGCCAGCAGCCGCGGUAAUACGAAGGGUGCAAGCGUUAAUCGGAAUUACUGGGCGUAAAGGGUGCGUAGGCGGUGGCUUAAGUCUGUCGUGAAAUCCCCGGGCUCAACCUGGGAAUGGCGAUGGAUACUGGGCAGCUAGAGUGUGUCAGAGGAUGGUGGAAUUCCCGGUGUAGCGGUGAAAUGCGUAGAGAUCGGGAGGAACAUCAGUGGCGAAGGCGGCCAUCUGGGACAACACUGACGCUGAAGCACGAAAGCGUGGGGAGCAAACAGG
rnacentral:rRNA from 1 species